ACGUUAGCGGCGGACGGGUGAGUAACACGUGGGUAACCUACCCAUAAGACUGGGAUAACUUCGGGAAACCGGAGCUAAUACCGGAUAAUAUUUCGAACCGCAUGGUUCGAUAGUGAAAGAUGGUUUUGCUAUCACUUAUAGAUGGACCUGCGCCGUAUUAGCUAGUUGGUAAGGUAACGGCUUACCAAGGCGACGAUACGUAGCCGACCUGAGAGGGUGAUCGGCCACACUGGAACUGAGACACGGUCCAGACUCCUACGGGAGGCAGCAGGC
rnacentral:rRNA from 1 species